rnacentral:rRNA from 1 species
GCCUACCAAGACAAUGAUGCAUGGCGGAUUGAAGGAUUGAUCGGCCACCUUGGGACUGAGACACGGCCCAAAUUCUUACGGGAGGCUGCAGUAGGGAAUUUUCCCCAAUGGGCGAAAGCCUGAAGGAGCAACGCCGCGUGGUUGAUGAAGGCUUUCGGGUCGUAAAGCACUGUUGUAUGGGAAGAACAGCUAGAAUAGGAAAUGAUUUUAGUUUGACGGUACCAUACCAGAAAGGGACGGCUAAAUACGUGCCAGCAGCCGCGGUAAUACGUAUGUCCCGAGCGUUAUCCGGAUUUAUUGGGCGUAAAGCGAGCGCAGACGGUUUAUUAAGUCUGAUGUGAAAGCCCGGAGCUCAACUCCGGAAUGGCAUUGGAAACUGGUUAACUUGAGUGCAGUAGAGGUAAGUGGAACUCCAUGUGUAGCGGUGGAAUGCGUAGAUAUAUGGAAGAACACCAGUGGCGAAGGCGGCUUACUGGACUGCAACUGACGUUGAGGCUCGAAAGUGUGGGUAGCAAACAGGAUUAGAUACCCUGGUAGUCCACACCGUAAACGAUGAACACUAGGUGUUAGGAGGUUUCCGCCUCUUAGUGCCGAAGCUAACGCAUUAAGUGUUCCGCCUGGGGAGUACGACCGCAAGGUUGAAACUCAAAGGAAUUGACGGGGACCCGCACAAGCGGUGGAGCAUGUGGUUUAAUUCGAAGCAACGCGAAGAACCUUACCAGGUCUUGACAUCCUUUGAAGCUUUUAGAGAUAGAAGUGUUCUCUUCGGAGACAAAGUGACAGGUGGUGCAUGGUCGUCGUCAGCUCGUGUCGUGAGAUGUUGGGUUAAGUCCCGCAACGAGCGCAACCCUUAUUGUUAGUUGCCAGCAUUCAGAUGGGCACUCUAGCGAGACUGCCGGUGACAAACCGGAGGAAGGCGGGGACGACGUCAGAUCAUCAUGCCCCUUAUGACCUGGGCUACACACGUGCUACAAUGGCGUAUACAACGAGUUGCCAACCCGCGAGGGUGAGCUAAUCUCUUAAAGUACGUCUCAGUUCGGAUUGUAGUCU